GCGCCCGUAGCUCAGCUGGAUAGAGCGUUUGGCUACGGACCAAAAGGCCACAGGUUCGAAUCCUGCCGGGCGUACCA
rnacentral:tRNA from 1 species